GUAUAUCACUUCGUUCGGUUCUCAGGGCAGCGCUUUCAGGUUUUUCACUUCGUUUGGGUCAAAGGGCAGCGCUUUUGGGCAGCUGCAGGCACCGGAAGAUGUCACUACAGAUGCCUACGGCAAUGUACUAGUCGCAGAUAAUGACAAUGGACGUGUUAUGGUAUAUGCCGCAGAAACAUACACACCGCUGGCUGAGUUUGGAAAAGGAGAGCUGGACGAGCCGAUGGGUGUCUGCGUGACAAGUGAGGGCUUAGUAGCUGUUUGCUCUUCCGGUAAUGACAAGAUUUUUGUGUUUUGAAGGUUUCUUGUUAGACACCUGUCAUCAGUCACCUGCUUACCCUUUUGUAUGCAUCAUAAAAUAAAUGACCAUAGCAUGACACAAACUGUUCUUGUAUCCCAUCCUACUCCCCCCCCCCCCCCCCACACACACAAGUACACACACACACACACACACACACACACACACACACACACACACACACACACACACACACACACACACAUAAACACAACCCCUUAGUUGUACAUCUUUGAUAAUUUUCAGUUGUCUUUUCUACACUUCUCGUUAAGAAUUUGGUUUUCCUCCACUCAUCCGCCGCCUUGCUUGGUGACGUGUUGUAUCUUACAGCAGUCUCACAUGAACUGAACACAUCCCACGCAUGUUAUACCACAGUACUUCGAUUUCCUUAAUGGAUUAGGUAGAUGCCGCAACAGUUAUUCCACACCAGUUAUUCUUAGGUAGCUUCUGGUUCCCUGUGUUUAUUCACCCGGUUAUCUCAGAAAAGAAAGUUUGCAAUUGCUAGAAUACAAAUCUGUCCAGGGGUGGAUAUAUUUUUGCAUUGGUCCCUUCUUCUUUAUUUUAAUCCUUGUCUCUCCAUCUGAGUUAAUUAUACAUUAUAUGUAGGCUGUAAUAGUUCUGAAUUUUUUUAAUUUUACUUAUUGGAUUGUUUUCUCGCAGAUUAAUCAUAUGAUUAGGAUAUCUAUGCAACAGUUAGUUUGAAUUGUUCACAUCGACAUCACGUUUUCCUUGUACUGAUUCUGUCGACUCA